UGUACCUGCAAAUGAUGAUAAAUUACGUUGGUAGGGACAUCUGAGACUGUGAUGAAUGCCAACAAAUUUCUGAGCAGGAUUA
rnacentral:snoRNA from 1 species